rnacentral:rRNA from 1 species
UACAGGGGGGGCAAGCGUUGUUCGGAAUUACUGGGCGUAAAGGGUUCGUAGGUGGCUCACUAAGUCACACGUGAAAUCCCUCAGCUUAACUGGGGAACUGCGUGUGAAACUGGAGAGCUUGAGGGUAGGAGAGGAAUGCAGAAUUCCAGGUGUAGCGGUGAAAUGCGUAGAUAUCUGGAGGAAUACCGGUGGCGAAGGCGGCAUCCUGGACCGACAUUGACGCUGAUGAGCGAAAGCUAGGGGAGCAAACGGG